CCUGGUGCAUAUUUCCAUGUUGCAAGGUUUUAAUACACAAUGGUUGCAACAGGACACAAUUGCAAUAAAUAUUAGCACACAUAGCCUGAAAUUAAAUGGUUUAAAGUUUUGCCUCAAAUAAGAUGCAUUCCCCAAGGAGGCAAAAAACAUAUAUAAGGUUAUAACCUGCAUUACUCUUCAGAGUCCUAAACUGGAUUCCUGCUCUGC